CUGAACUAAACACUCAGGAUCACAAUGUUACUCCUCUUCUUACUUUUCUUCACUAUUGCUGAUAUUGUUGAAGCUGCUGAUAUCAGCAUUAAACCAGAAGAAACCACUUUAUCUGUAACUGAAGGCAGCAACAUCACACUGUCCUGCACAUAUACUGGAUCAGUUUACAGACUUCACUGGUAUCAACAAAAACCUGGAUCAAGACCAGAGUUUCUGCUGCUGAUUGAUGAAAGCGGUAAACAAGUCAUAGAAGCUCAACCACCUCAUCCACGCUUGUCAAUCCAACUGGGGAAAAUGAAUAAGAAAGUGGAUCUGAUCAUCUCCUCUGCUGCUGUAUCAGACUCUGCUCUAUAC